GUGAAAGUAGGCAGACACAAAGAAGCUGUACUAUCCCCUUUUUUCUCCUUCUUCCCUAGAUUUUACACCUGUCAAGGAGCUCAUUGACUGCUGAAGAAUGGAGAUGAAGUCGGAGGAAGUCUGAAAGAUGAAGUCUUUCUACUGCAAAUGCUCAGCCUUUGAAAGGCAUGAAAAGAGAAGCAUCUUUUGAUAACCAACCUCCUCCAUUUUCUGGAUGCAAUUUCAUUUCCUUACAGAAUCUAAAUAAGAGUAAGUGAAGAGAUAGGAAAAAGGCAAUUCUGGUGAAAAAGGGACAACCAAAUAAACAACUAUAAAAAUAAGAAUGGAGGAAGCA
rnacentral:lncRNA from 12 species